UACAGAGGGUGCGAGCGUUGUUCGGAAUUAUUGGGCGUAAAGAGCUCGUAGGCGGUCUGUCGCGUCGGAUGUGAAAAUCCAGGGCUCAACCCUGGACCUGCAUUCGAUACGGGCAGACUAGAGUUCGGUAGGGGAGACUGGAAUUCCUGGUGUAGCGGUGAAAUGCGCAGAUAUCAGGAAGAACACCCGUGGCGAAGGCGGCUCUCUGGGACGGUACUGACGCUGAGACGCGAAAGCGUGGGGAGCGAACAGG
rnacentral:rRNA from 1 species